rnacentral:lncRNA from 1 species
UGUGCUUUUGCCAAAUACAUGUAAGGUCAAUGACUUAGCCAAUGCAGGAUGGAUGGAAAAAGAAGAGGCAGUGUCCACAAGACUGGGAGUAUUGUUCCUGUAAAUGAAUGUAGAAUUAAAUAAAUAAAUAAAUAAAUAAAUAAAUCAUUUCUCUGCUGAACAGCUUUCCCAUAUUUGCAAGCCAAUUGAACAUUUCUUUGUGGUGGGGGUGGCACGCUGGACUUUGUGGAAUCAGCUUCUAGCAUUCAAAGGAGCCACUGGAAAUGAAAGCGUGACUAUACAUCAGCAUGCUGGCACCUUGUUUUAGCUGAUGAAACAACAGUAAACCUCACAGCUUCAAGUGCCUUCCCACGACUGCUGCCUGGACUCUUGUUCCUUUCUGCACUCUCCUGCCCACAGGUGACCCAGAUUCUUUGCACCGCAUUUAAAAACAACCACCUCCAUGCCUAAUAAAGAUUGCAAGUCCUUAAAUGUCA